rnacentral:rRNA from 1 species
AGUGAACGCUGGCGGUAGGCCUAACACAUGCAAGUCGAACGGCAGCACAGUAAGAGCUUGCUCUUACGGGUGGCGAGUGGCGGACGGGUGAGGAAUACAUCGGAAUCUACUUUUUCGUGGGGGAUAACGUAGGGAAACUUACGCUAAUACCGCAUACGACCUACGGGUGAAAGCAGGGGAUCUUCGGACCUUGCGCGAUUGAAUGAGCCGAUGUCGGAUUAGCUAGUUGGCGGGUUAAAGGCCCACCAAGGCGACGAUCCGUAGCUGGUCUGAGAGGAUGAUCAGCCACACUGGAACUGAGACACGGUCCAGACUCCUACGGGAGGCAGCAGUGGGGAAUAUUGGACAAUGGGCGCAAGCCUGAUCCAGCCAUACCGCGUGGGUGAAGAAGGCCUUCGGGUUGUAAAGCCCUUUUGUUGGGAAAGAAAAGCAGCAGGUUAAUACCCCGCUGUUCUGACGGUACCCAAAGAAUAAGCACCGGCUAACUUCGUG